UUACAGCCAUAUCAGGUUGAAACACCAGUUCUCACAUAAUCCCUGAAGUUAAGCAACUUCAAGCCUGGUCAGUACCUAGAUGGGUGACUGCUUGGGUAUACCAGUUGGUGG